AUUGAACGCUGGCGGCAGGCCUAACACAUGCAAGUCGAGCGGAUGAAGGGAGCUUGCUCCUGGAUUCAGCGGCAGACGGGUGAGUAAUGCCUAGGAAUCUGCCUGGUAGUGGGGGAUAACGUCCGGAAACGGGCGCUAAUACCGCAUACGUCCUGAGGGAGAAAGUGGGGGAUCUUCGGACCUCACGCUAUCAGAUGAGCCUAGGUCGGAUUAGCUAGUUGGUGGGUAAAGGCCUACCAAGGCGACGAUCCGUAACUGGUCUGAGAGGAUGAUCAGUCACACUGGAACUGAGACACGGUCCAGACUCCUACGGGAGGCAGCAGUGGGGAAUAUUGGACAAUGGGCGAAAGCCUGAUCCAGCCAUGCCGCGUGUGUGAAGAAGGUCUUCGGAUUGUAAAGCACUUUAAGUUGGGAGGAAGGGCAGUAAGUUAAUACCUUGCUGUUUUGACGUUACCAACAGAAUAAGCACCGGCUAACUUCGUG
rnacentral:rRNA from 1 species